UACGAAGGGGGCUAGCGUUGCUCGGAAUCACUGGGCGUAAAGCGCACGUAGGCGGCUUUCUAAGUCAGGGGUGAAAUCCUGGAGCUCAACUCCAGAACUGCCUUUGAUACUGGAGAGCUUGAGUCCGGAAGAGGUGAGUGGAACUCCGAGUGUAGAGGUGAAAUUCGUAGAUAUUCGCAAGAACACCAGUGGCGAAGGCGGCUCACUGGCCCGAUACUGACGCUGAGGUGCGAAAGCGUGGGGAGCAAACAGGG
rnacentral:rRNA from 1 species